GGGCGCGGGGCGUCCGGCCGUGGCCGCGCCGCGCUUCGCGGGCGCGGCCUUCGCGGGCGCGCGCUUCGACGGCGCGCGCUUCGAC
rnacentral:tRNA from 1 species